AUGCAUGCAUGCAACGCCUAAGGUCUUUCCAACUUAGGUUGCAACACCAAACUGGGUAACACCCCCCUAGUUGACUGUAUUGAGUUGACUUCCACUCACGUUAACAGAGCGUCGGUCUCUGCUAACAACAUCUCUGUUCAGGAAUACUCUCAUGAAGACGAUCAGACCACACAAUUGGCUGCUACAAUGUACACAAACACUUAACUGUCUUUUAAGAACUCUUACGCAAAAGUUCUUAUGUACCAGAGUCAUUUAACAGCCACCACUUUUCGAUACGACGAUGACCGCGAUGAUAUUGACUAGAAUUUUUUCUCCGUUUUCAAUAUUUCAGUGCUUAUCAAAUAAUCAUUCUUAAAGUCACUGAUUGUGUUCAAGAGCUUCCCAGGGAUUUUGAUGUGAAGCUGAAAGAUUCCAACGACAAAGAGUUGAACUUUUAUCCUUUUUACAUCGCUGCGGAAAUCGAAAAUGGGUCUGUGCGUGAUAAAUCUUGGAAAUUUGCUGUUGGUGAUGGGAAAUCGUAUGGAACUUUUACAAACAAAGAGCUGAGGCGAGGAGAAAACUACAUUGCCUACCAAAGAGCCAUAACUCGACACAACGGUCAAAUUUUGGAAGGAGGUGCCAGUAAAGUCGCCUUUAUAGCUGUCACACCAGAGUCACUUAAAAAUACUGAAGAAACCAUAAAAGGAAAUGUCAGUGAAUGCCAAGUCCUUCGCGUUGGUGUCAUCGCUCUUUCUUGCGUU